UUGGAAUUCUGGAAAGUAAUAUGUGCAGAACAAGGUAUAGAUGAUGAAACAUGAAGAUGGUAUCACGGAGAUUCAGAUCUUUAAUUAGAUAGAUUAUAAUGAUGAAGCUAGUUGUGGUAGAUAUGUACCAAGAGCUGUGUUAAUGGAUGUUGAACCUGGUAUUAAAUAUGGAUUCACUUAUAUCUGGUCCUUAUGGUAAAAUCUUUAGACCUGGGAAUAACUGGGACGGCUGAAGGUCAUUAUACUGAAGGUGCUAUUCUGUUCUGGAUGUUGUUUGUCAAGAGGCUCAGAGCUGUGAUUGCUUACAAGGGCCUCAAAUGUCAUUCUAUGAGAGGAGGAACAUGAUCAGGAAUGAAAACUUUACUUAUAUCAAAGAUUAGUGAAGAAUAUCCAGGUAGAGUGAUGCUUACAUUCUCGGUGUUUACGCCACCAAAGGUUUCAGAUACAGUUAUGGAACCAUAUAAUGCUACGCUUUUUGUUCAUCAACUUGUUGAGAAUGCAGAUGAGUAUAUGGUUUGUGAUACUGAAGCUUUCUAUGAUAUUUGCCUCAGAACACUCAAACUUACUACCACAAGCUGUUGGUUUGGAUAUGAUCAGUUGGAGACUUGAACCAUCUCAUUUCUACUACCAUGAGUGGGGUAACAUGCUCGUCAACUUAACUCUGAUCUUCGCAAGCUAGCUGUCAACCCGAUUCCCUUCCCUCGUCUUUACAUUUCUUUAUGGUUGGUUUUGCACUCUUACCUCUGGGGUCGCAGCAGUACAGAACCCUAACAGUAUCUGAACUUACUCAACAAAUGUGGGAUGCUAAGAACAUAAUGUGUGUUGCUGAUCCUCACCAUGUGUGCUGCUGAUCCUCGCCAUGGUCUGUAUCUAACUGCUUCAUCUAUGUUCCGCGGAGAGAUGAGCGUUAAGGAAGUUGGUGAACAGAUAAUUAAUGUUCAGAACAAAAAUGCGUUGUACUUUGUUGAAUGGAUUUGUGAUAUUCCACCAACAGGGUUAAAAAUGGUAUCUACAUUCAGGACCCAACUGCUGAAAAGGAAGAAGAGUACUGAGGAAGAGAAGGAACCUCAAGAGGAGUGAAGUAAAAGAAGCGGUACAAGUAGUUUAGGAAAUUCUUGCUUGUUUCCUUCAGCUCCUUCCUCUACCACCAUCUGUCCUAGUAUCCACUUGAUGUUUGUGUCUCACAUUGUCUUUCAAGUUCAGACGAGUACUGAUAUCUUGGCAUGCAAGAGAUACUUCAAUUGUCAUUACGCCUCCACUUUUCAUAGGGCAGGCGUAGUGGCAUAUAUACCAUUCCUAAAACAUGUUGUUGCAAUUCAUUUCCCUAAUUUUCUUGUGAGGUACUGUAAAUUCCUAAAAUUUGCAUACAUCUCUUUGGU